CUACGGGAGGCAGCAGUGGGGAAUUUUCCGCAAUGGGCGAAAGCCUGACGGAGCAAUACCGCGUGAGGGAGGAAGGCUCUUGGGUUGUAAACCUCUUUUCUCAGGGAAGAACAAAAUGACGGUACCUGAGGAAUAAGCAUCGGCUAACUCCGUGCCAGCAGCCGCGGUAAUACGGAGGAUGCAAGCGUUAUCCGGAAUUAUUGGGCGUAAAGCGUCCGCAGGUGGCAGUUCAAGUCUGCUGUCAAAGGUCAGGGCUCAACCCUGAACAGGCAGUGGAAACUGAACAGCUAGAGUGCGGUAGGGGCAGAGGGAAUUCCCAGUGUAGCGGUGAAAUGCGUAGAGAUUGGGAAGAACACCGGUGGCGAAAGCGCUCUGCUAGGCCUGCACUGACACUCAGGGACGAAAGCUAGGGGAGCGAAUGGGAUUAGAUACCCCAGUAGUCCUAGCCGUAAACGAUGGAUACUAGGCGUAGCUUGUAUCGACCCAAGCUGUGCCGUAGCUAACGCGUUAAGUAUCCCGCCUGGGGAGUACGCGCGCAAGCGUGAAACUCAAAUGAAUUGACGG
rnacentral:rRNA from 1 species